GACGUAGGAUGCAAGCGUUAUCCGGAAUUAUUGGGCGUAAAGCGUUCGUAGGUGGUUUGUUAAGUUAGAUGUUAAAUCCCUGAGCUCAACUCAGGAUUGGUAUCUAAAACUGGCAGGCUGGAGACAGGUAGAGGUAGAUGGAACUCUGUGUGUAGGGGUAAUAUCCGUAGAUAUACAGAAGAACACCAAAAGCGAAGGCAAUCUACUGGACCUGUUCUGACACUCAAGAACGAAAGCGUGGGGAGCAAACAGG
rnacentral:rRNA from 1 species